GCUAAAUGUCAAUUACACCCAACAUAAACAACUAAGUUUUCGUCAAUUUUCGUGUUUUCUUUUAUCUGAAGUGUUUUCCUCUUUGUUUGAAAUAUAUACGAGUAGGUAUAUACUGCCGGAGCCGGAUUUUAUGCAAAAACUGUCGGAAGGGGUUGGUUAGGCGGUACGUGCUCGGCUCGUGGAGCUGGAGGAGCGUCGGCUCCACCAGACGGAACGUCGCAUCGACGUUGAGGAGCGUCGGCUGGCUGUGGAGACGCAACAACUCGCCGUGGAGGAGCGACGACUCGCCUUUGAGCAGGAACUAGGAACGCCAACUCACCCCCUAAAACAUGAAAAUAUAUAAUAUACUUACUGUGAUUUUUAUUAUUUAAUUGUAAUAUUGCUAUAAUACACUGUACUGUGAUUUUUAUGUAGAUCCAUGGUAAAUUAUUAUAAUGACUAUUUAGAUAAUAAAUGCAACAAAUUAAUACAUA